rnacentral:rRNA from 1 species
UACCAGCACCCCGAGUGGUCGGGACGUUUUAUUGGGCCUAAAGCAUCCGUAGCCGGUUCUACAAGUCUUCCGUUAAAUCCAGCUGCUUAACAGAUGGGCUGCGGAAGAUACUAUGGAGCUAGGAGGCGGGAGAGGCAAACGGUACUCAGUGGGUAGGGGUAAAAUCCAUUGAUCUACUGAAGACCACCAGUGGCGAAGGCGGUUUGCCAGAACGCGCUCGACGGUGAGGGAUGAAAGCUGGGGGAGCAAACCGG